rnacentral:rRNA from 1 species
GAUGAACGCUGGCGGCGUGCCUAAUACAUGCAAGUCGAGCGAACAGACGAGGAGCUUGCUCCUCUGACGUUAGCGGCGGACGGGUGAGUAACAUGUGGAUAACCUACCUAUAAGACUGGGAUAACUUCGGGAAACCGGAGCUAAUACCGGAUAAUAUAUUGAACCGCAUGGUUCAAUAGUGAAAGACGGUUUUGCUGUCACUUAUAGAUGGAUCCGCGCCGCAUUAGCUAGUUGGUAAGGUAACGGCUUACCAAGGCAACGAUGCGUAGCCGACCUGAGAGGGUGAUCGGCCACACGGGAACUGAGACACGGUCCAGACUACUACGGGAGGCAGCAGUAGGGAAUCUUCCGCAAUGGGCGAAAGCUUGACGGAGCAACGCCGCGUGAGUGAUGAAGGUCUUCGGAUCGUAAAACUCUGUUAUUAGGGAAGAACAAAUGUGUAAGUAACUAUGCACGUCUUGACGGUACCUAAUCAGAAAGCAACGGCUAACUACGUG